GACGAACGCUGGCGGCGUGCUUAACACAUGCAAGUCGAACGGAAAGGCCCUGCUUUUGUUGGUUUCUUGUUUGCCGAACGGGUGAGUAUCACGUGUGUAACCUCCCCUUAUCUUUGUGAUAACUUCUGGAAACUGGGGCUAAUACCCCAUAUGAUCUCCUGCUGCAUGUUGUGGUUUGGAAAGUUUCGGAGUUUGUGGAUGGACUCGCUGCUUACCAGCUUGUUGGUGGGGUAGUGGCUUACGAAGCCUUUGACGGGUAGCCUGCCUGAGAGGGUUAACGGCCACAUUGGGACUGAGAUACGGACCAGACUCGUACGGGAGGCAGUAGUGGGGAAUAUUGCAAAAUGGGCGGAAGCCUGAUGCAGAAACGCCGCGUGCGGGAUGACGGGCUUCGGGUUGUAAACAGAUUUGGACUGAGACGAAGAGAGAGUGACGGUAAUGGGUAAAGAAGCAACGGCUAACUACGUG
rnacentral:rRNA from 1 species